AGUGAACGCUGGCGGUAGGCCUAACACAUGCAAGUCGAACGGCAGCACAGUAAGAGCUUGCUCUUACGGGUGGCGAGUGGCGGACGGGUGAGGAAUACAUCGGAAUCUACUUUUUCGUGGGGGAUAACGUAGGGAAACUUACGCUAAUACCGCAUACGACCUACGGGUGAAAGCAGGGGAUCUUCGGACCUUGCGCGAUUGAAUGAGCCGAUGUCGGAUUAGCUAGUUGGCGGGGUAAGGCCCACCAAGGCGACGAUCCGUAGCUGGUCUGAGAGGAUGAUCAGCCACACUGGAACUGAGACACGGUCCAGACUCCUACGGGAGGCAGCAGUGGGGAAUAUUGGACAAUGGGCGCAAGCCUGAUCCAGCCAUACCGCGUAGGUGAAGAAGGCCUUCGGGUUGUAAAGCCCUUUUGUUGGGAAAGAAAAGCAGCAGGUUAAUACCCCGCUGUUCUGACGGUACCCAAAGAAUAAGCACCGGCUAACUUCGUG
rnacentral:rRNA from 1 species